AGUCGAACGGUGAGGGGGCACCCCUUGAGAGUGGCGAACGGGUGAGUAAUAUAUCGGAACGUGCCCAGUCGUGGGGGAUAACGUACCGAAAGUUACGCUAAUACCGCAUACCCAUCUAAGGAUGAAAGCGGGGGAUCGCAAGACCCUCGCGCGAUUGGAGCGGCCGAUAUCAAAUUAGGUAGUUGGGGGGGUAAAGGCUCACCAAGCCAACCAUCUGUACCUGGUCUGAAAGGACGACCAGCCACACUGGAACUGAAACAGGGCCCAGACUCCUACGGGAGGCGCCAGUGGGAAAUUUUUGAAAAUGGAACACAGGUCUAAUCCUCCCUUUUCCCGUGCAAGAAUGAGGGCCCCUCCGGUCUAAAACUGUUUUU
rnacentral:rRNA from 1 species